GCCACAUAUUAGGGCCAACGUGUCCGUCCUGCCCUCUCAAGGCUCUCUAUGAGCUAUUUAAAUGAGUCUCUGGGUAAAUAUUUGGAGAUCCGUAGUUUGUCAAUAAUGAAAUAACAGAUUAAUGGGCUCAGCCGGUGAUCCCACAGGGAGCUUGAUAACCAUCAGGUACUUUUCAUCUGAUCCAAUUACACAGAGAAAUAUCUGAAUAUUCAGAGCCCACUCCAGUCCCCUAUUCAUGUCAUUAUAGCCCCCCUCCUAUUAUUCAUUGAUAGGGAUGGAGGGGAGGUAGGGUCUGACC